GUUAGCAGAUGCUAUUGGUCACAUACACAUGGUUAGCAGAUGUUAUUGGUCACAUGGUUAGCAGAUGCUAUUGGUCACAUACACAUGGUUAGCAGAUGUUAUUGGUCACAUGGUUAGCAGAUGUUAUUGGUCACAUGGUUAGCAGAUGUUAUUGGUCACAUGGUUAGCAGAUGUUAUUGGUCACAUGGUUAGCAGAUGUUAUUGGUCACAUGGUUAGCAGAUGUUAUUGGUCACAUGGUUAGCAGAUGUUAUUGGUCACAUGGUUAGCAGAUGUUAUUGGUCACAUGGUUAGCAGAUGUUAUUGGUCACAUACACAUGUUUAGCAGAUGUUAUUGGUCACAUGGUUAGCAAAUGUUAUUGGUCACAUGGUUAGCAGAUGUUAUUGGUCACAUGGUUAGCAGAUGUUAUUGGUCACAUGGUUAGCAGAUGUUAUUGGUCACAUGGUUAGCAGAUGUUAUUGGUCCAUACACAUGGUUAGCAGAUGUUAUUGGUCCAUACACAUGGUUAGCAGAUGCUAUUGGUCACAUACACAUGUUUAGCAGAUGUUAUUGGUCCAUACACAUGGUUAGCAGAUGUUAUUGGUCCAUACACAUGGUUAGCAGAUGUUAUUGGUCACAUGGUUAGCAGGUGUUAUUGGUCACAUAGACGUGUUUAGCAGAUGUUAUUGCGGGCGUAGCGAAAUGUUUGUUAAAUUCAAAUUCAAUUCAAAAGGGGCUUCAUUUUCAUGGGAAUCGUGUUGCUAAAUGCAAGUGAUUUAAACAAUCAGAAAUGAACAGUAAACAUUAAACUGUUUGAAAUAAUCCUGUUACUGUGUAGUAUUUAAAUAUGAUGGAUCACCAUUUCUUUAUUUAACUAGGCAAGUCAGUUAAGAAGAAAUUCUUAUUUACAAUGACGGCCUACCGGGGAACAGUGGGUAAUAUAAGCGAUAACCAAAAGUAUACAGUUUUCAGAAAGCCCAAGAUCUACAAAAUACUAGUAAUGUGGAUCUGCUUAGUCCAAAGUGACAAAAAAAUGACAUUUUACUUUUGCCACUGCUUAUAUGUACAUUCCAACAGUUUAUACAACAACUAC
rnacentral:lncRNA from 1 species